rnacentral:lncRNA from 1 species
CCGGUGCUCGGCGCCAGCCUGCACUGGACGUACCACCCGGCGAACGGCACCGCGGACGUCGCGUUCCGCGCGCCGCAGAGUAGCAGCGGCGGGUGGGUGGCGUGGGGCAUCAACACCCAGGGCGCCGGCAUGGUCGGCAGCAGCGUGUUCAUCGCCUCGCAGAUCAACGCCACCGGCGCCGGCGCCGGCGGCGUGUCCGUCGUCACGACGGUGCUGGAGAGCUUCAGCCCCAGCCUGAGGAACGGGACCCUCAGGUUCGACGUGCCGGCGCCGCCCGCCGCCGAGUACUCGGCCGGCGCGUACACCAUCUACGCGACGGUGGCGCUGCCGGGGAACUCGACGACGCAGAACAUGGUGUGGCAGGCCGGGCCGGUCAGGGGAGGGGCCAUAGCGAUGCACCCGACGACGGGGGCGAACCUGAGGAGCACCAAGAAGCACGACUUCACGUCUUGAUGCGUAGUAGGCUUAGGAAUAAGCAUUAUUAUUAUCAUUGCCAUACCAUACAGCAUAUGUUUCUGAUGUUGUUUGCUAUCGGUUUUUAUACUAAAUAAAAGUGCAAUGUGUUGAGGAAUUACUAGCAAGUUUUGGCAGAUACUCGCUCCAUUUCACAAUGUAAGUCAUUCUAGCAUUUCUCACAUUUAUAUUGCUGUUAAUGAAUCUAGACAUAUAUAAAUGUGAGAAAUGUUAGAAUGACUUACAUUGUGAAAUGGAGGAAGAAUCUUGCUACUUUGUUCGAUGGUAAAAGGUUUGUAACGUGUAGACAGACGAUCGGUGGAGCUCCAACUACGCACGAUUCUGUUUUUAGCCGAUACGGGGUGUUCAACCCGAGCAAGAUGACAUCAAGUGUUCUUGCGAUGAGACGGACAUAGAACAGUGGAGUGGACAGGCCAGCUCGUCGCCAUUUUCACCGAACUCGUCGAGGGGCCUAUGCGCAUCUUCAGUCUUGAUCAGGUCGCGGAUGGCGUGGUCGGAGCUGGAAGAAGGAUUGGCUGACGCUGUGCUCUGUUCAUGGACAGAGGAGAUGCUUUCGCGGUAACAGGAUAUAAUUCCCAAGAUUCAUUGAAGCUGAUGGUGUUGCUACGGUUGCUGUAUGCUACUCGAUAGAAAAACGUCAGUACUGUCCAGCGUUCCAUGGUUACAUAGAACCCAUGAUUCCGUGAACGCUUUUUGGUUCGAACCGAAUAUGUAGGAUUAACCCGUGAUAAUUUGUAAUAUCAAUGCAUCCGGAUAAGUAAUUCCAAAUUUCCAAUGCGAUUAUGGGUGUGUAACGUAAAUGUUCGCAGCCUUGCCAAUGACAUGCCUGCCAUGAGCCCAUGACAUAUUGACACCGACACAUACACUGCAUAAAAAUCAAGUGUGACAAUAGGGGAACAUAUAUUACCAUCUGGAGUUAGGUCAACGCGCACUUUUCUAAGGAGAAAUUAAUACGUGUCCGUGGUCGAUGGUCGGGACGAAGUCACCGCUCCUUGUGGUUUUUCAGGGAAUGUUGGAACAAGUCCGUAAUUACGUAGCAAUCGACGUCUGCCUCCGAAAUGAAAUGUAAGACACGGCAGUAGAAACAAAUUAUCCGACAAUUACAAGGCAACCUAGUUGAUCAUGUUAAAUUAUCCGACAAUUACAGCGCGCACUUCAUGAAGCCUGCAAAAAAGAUCAGAUGCGAAGUAAUUAUCGGAGUAUGGCGGCGGCGGCGCGUACACGAUCUACGUGACGGUGGCGCUGCCGAUGAACUCCACGACGCAGAACACGGUGUGGCAGGCCGGGCCGGGCAGCACCGGGGCGAUUGCGUCGCACCCGACGUCGGGGCAGAACUUGCGGAGCAUGCAGAGGCUUGAUUUCUUGUCCGGGAAGAGCGCCGGAGCCUCCAACUCCAGGAUGCCGUGAUUGCGUAAUUUUCAGAUGCUGUAAUCACAUAAGAUAUGUCAGUGGCUCAGUGGCAGUGUGUCUUGUUUUCACUGUAAACCUGAAUUCUGGAAUGGAACAGUUUCUCUUUGUACACGGCGAGCACAAUCGGAGAAAUGGCUUGAUUGAAUUUGGCAAGGAUUUAACACCUUUGGAUUGUUCAACAUCCACUUCGGUGGCGGCGUCUUCAUCCAUCGCGCCGGUGUUGUCCUCGUACUUGACCGUUUAACCCCUCCGCUGCCGGCGUGCAUCUGAUUCAGGGCUUCAGGCUGCGUGGGGGAGUAUGUGGUGGGCCGUAUUAUCUGGGCUCUGGAAUGAAGGAACAGGCCUAGUAAACUUCAGGCCCUAGCAUGGACGGUCCAUAUGGGGCCCGCUAUGGUAGCGAUCCUGUUUGUUCAGGUUUUCGUGGGCCUACAGCCUCAACGCGAAGGAAUAAGUCCACACUGAUUCCCUGAUUCAAUGAGCCACGUCAGACUAGGCCAACAAGCCAGGUCAGCAAAAAAAAAAAACACCCUCACUUACGGAAUGGCCACUCUGGCUCGCGCCGCCUGCUUGGUGCAUAGUGCUAACUACUCCUAGGAGUAAUUAACCCUUUUGACAUAAUCACACUAUCACAUUGACAGCGCCAACGCCGUUGCUUAUCCGUGUGAUCAAUGGCAUCAUUUCGUUUCCGGAUCAAGGACGAUAGGUGUGAAUCAGAGAAUCAAUUCAGAGGUACCUGUCUUAGAGCAUCUCCAACAGCCUCUCUAAAUAACUCUCCAAGCCAAAUUUUAGCCAUUCUAGUGAAAAAACAUCCUUUAACAGCCUCUCCAACCAGAUAGCUAAGCCAUCUGACUGGCCAAAACCCUCCCUCCACCUCCACUAGCCAAAUUUGGCCAGCCAAAAUGACUGGCCAACUGUGGGCCCCACGCACAUUAACAUCCGGCUAUUCUCUCUCAUUGUUGCACGCGACCGCACGGUCGUCCGCGGCCUCCGCCGACGUCCGCGCCAUCGCCGGCCACGGCCUAAGCUACCGUAGUCCACGCCAUCACCCGCCAUGACCGUCGCCGCCAUCCGUGUCGUCGCUGACCGCGACCUCCGCCGUCGUCCGCGAGCCCCGCCGCCGGCCGCGGCCACGCCGUCGCCCGCCGCCGCUGGCACGAGCUCUGCAGAAGAACGAGCAGAGGAUGGGAGAAAGGGGGAGGAAGAAGAAAGAGAAGAAUAACAGGUGGGGUCCAUUGGUUAAUAGAGAGUGGGAUGUAAAGAGUCUGUUGAAAUAGAAGAUAAAUUUCACUCUCUAAAUUUUUGUUAGACUGGUCAAUUAGAUAUUUGGAGAGUCAAAAAUAGCCGCACUGUUAGAGAUGCUCUUCCAUCCCAAGGCAAACGACUUCGUGUGUGUCAUCUAGAUCCGCCGCGCGAUAUCCGAUAUGCAGGCUGUUCCUCAUUCGACCAGAUCUGUUCAUCCGCCAAGGGGCAGAGAGCGACUUCAGUUGCUACGGCGUGUACGGAUGUUACUCCCUGGCACGUUUCGAUCUGACCUCUUGUACUCCCUCUGUUCCAAAAUAAGUUCUGCGCCUAACUUUAACCAUUCAUCUUAUUUAAAUUUUCUUUUUAAAAAAAUUAAAAACAUAAGUCAUGAGUAAAGUACUAUUUAUGUUUUAUCAUCUUAUAUCAACAAAAAUGCUAAUUAUAAAAAAAUUUCGAAUAAGACAAACGAUCAAAAUUGGACGCGAAAACUUAUGGUUGCACUUAUUUUGGGACGGAGAUAGUAACUGCUACAGCCAGAUCAACGGACUGCAACAUCGCCAAGCAUGUCUUUGCAUGACGUGUGGCAGGAAAUCAUCUAGGGAAGUGUUAAAUCAAAUGCAGUCAUCGUGGACAAAAUACCUGGCCAGGGACAUGUUGCAAGGUGUCAGGUGUUGAAACUUGAAAGGCGUUGAUCAAAGUGUGCACGGUCACCUGUCAUCCAAAUGAAAAGUGCGGCCCGGCAGACGGCAGUGGAACCUGUCCGGUGUUUCUAGGAUCUGAAUGUGCACAGCUCUAUAGCUUAGCUGAGCUAAUUCGAUUAGAGCAGGUGAACCAACUCUUUAUAAUUACGAUACUAACCAGGACGAAGCGAACGGAAGCUGUCGAGGGCAGCUACUACAAUCAAACAACAGAAGAGGAAUACGCACACACCAGUUGACAAAAUAAUUUUCCAUGUCUGAACCGAAAGCAACACUCGACAUGUUUGUUCAGAGUUUCACAAGAUUAAUAAUGGACAGGACCCAGCAUCAGGGCGGCUAGAGCCUGGAAGCAACGAAUGCGUGCUGUCCUAUGAUUCUCAUCAUUCAAAAGUUCGGUCGCGGCAAUUAAUUUAACGCAUAAAACUAGUACAAGAUUGUGGAGUAUUAGAAUUUUUAAUAUCUGAGGGAAAGAACUACGUACUACAAGAACUUGGAUCAUUCAGCAUAUAUAGCAGUUAUGGACCAACGAGCUACUUGUUGGAGACCUAACUACCGGUCAAUAUAUCUGCUACACCAACUUUCACGUAAGAUACAGUAUUUUUUUCUUUUUGUCACAGAAAUGUUGAGCAUUUUCUAUUGUUCUAGUAUUUGAGUAUUCGGUAUUUGGAUUAAUCAGCCUUUGUACCACAUGUUCCUAAUUUGAUCAGCAUGUACUAAGUCAAAAUUCAACGACCAGUUCGUGAUAACUAUCAUUAUGUAUUUUGUAAAUUAAUAUUUUGCGUUCCUACUUCGCACCUUCGUUUAUCCGCGGUCGCUUAGUAAGACUGAACACAAAGACCGAAAUGGAUAAUAGUCUGAAAGAUGUGAACUACCAUUUGCACGUAAAGAAAAUUAUUAGUGCUGAUACGAACCACUUCUACUUGUAUUAUAAAAAAAGGAUUAGGACAAAUAAGGAGGGUUUUGGUUAUCAAAUAAUUGGAAGAAAAUGUGAGUGUAUUAAGAAUUGAACACGAAACCUUGAGAAUGAAACCACACUCCUUACCACUCCAAUAAAAGUGCAUCUCCUUCUUGCAUUAUAUUUUUGUUGUGACAAGAUUGAGAAGGAUCCAAUAUCUUACUAGCUAGUAUCAUAAGUUAGUAGGCUAGUUAGUGGGUUAGAGGUCUAGUUAAUCUGGAUUCGAGACUCAAUUCCUCCGGUCCUCCUUAAUACCAUUGAUAUGGAAGUCAUUCCUUUCAUAUCCAUAUCCACUUUUAAGGAUGUUCGAAAGCGGAGUUGUUAUUUGACGCGCAUGUGCCAGAAACGGAACUGCCGCACGCCAGUCGGCGCUCCUCACUCGUUUUGUCGUUUUCUUUCUCUCUUUUUUUUGCCAUUUUUUUCUUUUUCUUUUUUCCCAUCUUUUUGCUUCUUCUUUUUUUUUCGCUCCCCCUCCACUCAAGAAUUUUCCUUUUUUUCAUGUUUUUUUCCAAUAUUUUUAAUCGUUAGCACACAUGUUUUCGAAAUAUUUGAGUCGAAAGUUUUCAAAUCUUAACUUGAAAGUUUUCCAAUCUGAAGAAAGUUUCAAAUCUAGAGUUGUAAGUUUUCAAAUUUCAAGUCGAAAGUUUUCAAAUCUGAGUCGAAAGUUUUUAAAUCUGAGUUGAAAGUUUUCAAAAUUUGUCUUACAAAAUUAAAUUUUGAGUACAAAAUUUUCAAAAUUUGAGUUGAAAGUUUCACAUAUAAUUUUUUUUCAAUCUGUUAUGGAAAAAAAUCUUUUCUUAAUUACCGUCAUUAUCCUAAACUAACUCAGUUAGGUACGUUAACUCUUAGGAAAAAGCGCGCGCGCCAACUUUUCCGGUUUGAAAGAUUGAUGUCAUCGACUACACUUGUUAGGGAUUGGUCUGUUUUUUUAGACAAUUGGAUUUUUAUUGGAUAAUGAUGGCUGUCGGGCGACCGGGCGGGGGGAGGAAAAAUCGGUCGCUCACCCCGCCCCCGCCCCCGCCCCCGCGCGCACGCUGAUAUCGCUGGCCCCACCACAAUACCUGUCCCCACCUGUAACAAAUCAACCACAUAUUUUUAAAACCCUCUAUUAAGGGAAUUUGGUUUAUUUUCUGUUCCACAAAAAAUGUUUUACCUAGUGUACUCACAAUGUUUCACUAUGUAUAGAUCUAAUGUUGCAGUAAACUGAAAUAUUCCAUUGCAAAAAAAAAACCCACAUAUUUUGGAAACCCCCUAUUAAGGGAAUUCGUUUUAUUUUUUAUUCCAUCAAAAAAAUAUUUUACCUAGUGCAUUUAUAAUAGUUCACUAUGUAUGGAUCAAAUGUUGCAGUGAACUGAAACAAUCUUUCACUAUUUGCUAAAACGUUGUUUCUACAUAAGGUGAAACAACACCCAAUUUAAACGAGUGAAACAUUUUUGAUCUACUUAGUGAAACAAUUCCGAUAUACCUGGUGGAACAUCGUGCAAUAUUUAAAAAUAAUUCAAUAAUAAGCUAAAAAAAUUGUCGUCGGAAUAUAUCCAUGUGGGUCUUGUUUUCAAGAUUUAAUUGCAACGAAUUUAAUGGUGCAAUCGAAUCAUGAUUUGGAUAAGUAAUUUAAGAGAAAAAUCGGUUUAAAGUAGUUUUUGCACGUAAAUCGGGCGCUGAGAUUUUUCUACAAAUCGUCGGGCGCCCGAGCCGUAGGCGGCCCCAUUUUUAUUAAUCCGGCCUCUAUAUCCACGAGGGAUAUACACAGCCAACAGAAUACAAGAGCACUUAGACCAUGUUUAGAUGGAACUAAAACUUUUAAGUCCCUAUCACAUCAUAUGUUUGGAUAAUAAUUAUAAAUAUUAAACGUAGACUAUUAAUAAAACCCAUAUAUAAUCUUGGACUAAUUCGCGAGAUAAAUCUAUUGAGCCUAAUUAAUACAUGAUUAGCCUAUCUGAUGCUACAGUAAACAUUCUCUACUUAUGGAUUAAUUAGACUUAAAAAAUUUGUCUCGCAAAUUAGCUUUCAUUUAUAUAAUUAGUUUUGUAGGUAGUCUAUAUUUAAUAUUUUAAAUUAGUGUCUAAAUACAGAGACUAAAGUUAAGUCUCUCGAUCCAAACACCACCUUACACUCAUAACUCAACAAAGAGAAAAACAUACAACCGAAAAACGGAAAACCUACAACCUCAACAAUCUGAGCAAGUUAAGAUAUUUUAGUACAAGCACAAGUGAACCUCUAACUCCAAAUAGCAGGAUGUUCUCAAAAUGAUUGCUGAAGUAAGUUGACGAAACAUAUCAACAUUUGAGCUAAACAUACCUACGGUUAAUAUGAACCUUGAUAAAGCAAAAGGACAAGAAACACGAACUCUCCAAGGACAGUAGUAGUACUGCACUACUGCUUAUUAAAAGUUCUACUAUACUUCCUCCAUCUAAAAAAAGUCAAACUCUAGAUUUCCGUACCAACAUUUGACUGUCCGUCUUAUAUGAGAUUUUUUUAUAAUUAGUAUUUUUAUUAUUGUUAGAUGAUAAAACAUAAUUAAUACUUUAUGCGUAACUUAUCUUUUUAAUUUUUUUUCAUAAUUUUUUCAAAUAAGACGGACGGUCAAACGUUAGACACGGAAAUUAGGGUUUGUCUUUUUUUAGGACGGAGGGAGUAUAUGCAAAGAAAAGUAUUUGAUAGGUAACUUUGGAUAUUACUGCCCAUUUCAGCGCCUUUUCUCCAACUUUUUUCCCCAUGAAUUGUACUUUUCCAGGUUCUGAAUUUUCAGUGAUAAUAUAAAGCUCCUCUUUGAUGGAAAUGCUAGCAACCAUCAUUUUUGUUCCUUUGGUCAUAUUCCAGCUUUUGUCCAGUGUUGAACAUGUCGUCAGAAAUUCUUCCAAUAGUAAGCGAUCGCAUCGAUUGCGUUAUUCGAUAUUCAGUUAUCUCCAAAAUAGGAGACGACUCAGCGAGGAGAUUUACCCGUUUACUUUUCUUUCUCGAUCUUGGAAGCAAUAUCUGUAUUCGUUUUCUUCUAGCUAAUAUUACCAAACAGCAGAAAGAGACUGAUCUCUAACAUAAGGAAGGCAAUGCAUAAGGACAGCUCUAUCGUGGCAGAAAAGAACCAGAAACCCCAACUUGACACACUACGUUGUACAUCAUGAACCUGAAGUAGUACAUCGUGUACUUCCUUUUGAGUAGUACAAAUGUACUGCGGUACUGCCUGUUUGUGAGGUGCUAUGAUUGUUCAUCUCGUUUUCGCAUAGAGAUUUCAAUGUGAGAAGUUCGGUUGGGACAUCGGUUCGGUAUGAGUAUGUGCAAUCGCAAUCCUGACCAACUGCAUGGAUUUUAUAUUUAAUUAAUCCAGUAGAAAUGAAAGCGACUAGCGUCUAGAAGUCUUCAGGUUUGUCCUCGCCGCGGUUGCUAGUUCUCUGGCCCUUCAAAAUUCAAAUAUUCAAUGCAGUAUACUCGUCUACUAUUUCGAGAUAGGCCUUCCGUUUCGGGCUUUGCCGGAAUGACGGUUUUCGCGAAAUCCGGUGAAAAGCCGGCAGAUUCCGAACAAAUUUCAUAAACCAAAAUUUGAAUAUAAAUUCCCUAAGUUUACCGAUAAGCUCGCGAAAACAGGUCGUCUUUAGCGAAAUUCCGAGCAAAAUCAUUUAAAUUUCGAGGUGAACUAUUUUUUUUCUUUUUUUAAGUUCGUUAUUCUUUUCUUUACUACGGUAAAUUUCAGUAAAUACAAGGAGUACAUCAAUUUUUCCGAAAAUUUCUAUCCCAAUAAGUUAUAUGAAUAUCAUACUAUUUAUAAGAUUUUAUUUUUUUUUCUUUUUUAUCAAUUUAAAUUUGAAUUUGGAUGAAACUCAUCGAAAUCUCAGACAGCUUGUACUUUCGAAACCUAAAAUUUCACGGAAUUCGACUGGUUUUCGUCAGAAUUGUGAACCUAACUCUGAAUCCUUUUGGUCCAUUCUUGAUAGUCAAAUUCAUCUGUAUACAUACACGGGAGCGUUCAUCUUGCCAGUAGCCAACUAUGCCAAUAACAGCUAAAACGGGAGCGUUCACGGAGUAAACUAGUAAAAGCUAGAGCUGAAAUGAACGACCAAGUCACUUUGCUUCGUCACAGAACCAAAGCAAAGCCACAAACAGUUCAGCUCCUACUUGCGUACGGUCGUCUGCUUAUACUGUCAGUACACGGUGUCAAAGUAGCUGCAGAAGCCAACAGAUAUUCGUAGAAAUAUCAGAUACGUACAGACAUCGCACCAGAUUGCAUUGGAAAACUGGACACAAAAACGGAAGGCAAAGAGUAAAGACUAGUCUACGUGACGAACAUGUCGAUAAUCCUGGAGUCUGAUCAGGUUGUAAAUAAGGCCCGGUCAUGCGUUUUCAGAGAAACGCGUGUUUGGCGUCCAUAUGGCACGCGCCUUCAGCACUUCAGCCUGCCGCAAGACCAAGAAAUAUUGCAGCCUCCAACAACUCAUCCCGUGUGUUCAUUCUACGUAGAUCCGGGAGACGACUCUGUCGACGACGCUAGCCGGCCUGUCGGAUGCACGUGGGGAAAAAAUCUGCUAAUCCUCUGCUUACAGGCUAAUCUACUCCUAUGCGUUUAUGACAUCGCAUCGAUAUGAAAUUCAGCAUCAUUGUGUAAAGAAAUUACAAAGGUUGAGAUUUUUAGGAGCUUAUAUUUAGUACAGUGCCAGCUUUAGAUAUAUAUAUUAAAAAACGAACUGUCAGUCUGUCAAGGGCAUGCUAACAUCAGAAAAUUGAAAAGAACACAUGCGCAAUUGCCUGAGGCAAAAGAAAAGGAUGGCGGGACGAGGACGAAAGGUAGCAGAAGCAAACGGUUUGACCGAGCUGUCCGAGCAGAAACACGGGGGGGUACAGUCCUGAACUUGCUCUUUCACCUAAUCCUCUUGCAGUUUUUCUAUUGGUUUCUGCCUCGCCAGCUUCAACUACUCUCCUCCAGGCAACCCACUAAACGUGGAAAAGGUCUGCAUCCAUCCGACCUCUGCCGUUGUGGUGCAGGCAUUGAGGCGUAUGAGUAUGACUACGUGCAGCCGAUCUGGAGAUAGUGCCAAUUGUAAAACAAUUGUGACAGUUUAAUGGCAUAGGCAUACUCUGCAAUGUCCAUUCGCUGAAACAAUCUUUUUACUGAAACAAAUAGGAGAACGUAGUAGGUGACUUCAAUCCGUUGAAAUAAACAAGAACCUUCAGAAUAUGCCUCCUAUGCAUAAUCUAAACAAAAAUAAUGCCUGCACUUCACGGCAUACGGUCCGGUGUACAGACUGAACCAUAAAAAAGACGUGAAUAUUAGAGAAUGAUCUAAUAUCAAAUAAUUAAAAGAGCUUUCGAACCCAGGUUGUCUAGCCCACCACCUUGUGAAGCUAGUCGAAAGACUUCUGGACGUUUCUUGUAGAGUCUGAACCAUAAUUUAAGUUUUUUUAAGAAAAUAAUUUUAGUUUUUUUAAUGUAAAGGCCAUAAUUUAAGUUUCCCUAGAAGUUUUAACGGGCACAUGUCUGAAUGAAUUAUACCACCUCGAUUAUUCAGGCACCUAAUAAGGUACUAGUUGAAGGCUGCUAACUCCCAACAUGACAUGUAUAGUGCUGAUGACCAUGUCAAGUUAUCAACUGUGAAGCUUCGAGCCACACGCCUACUCCCCCAACAACCGCGCGAGGAGCUUGCAUAUAAGCCUCUCCCUUUCCCAAAUCCUCUCACCAGCAGCAGCAGCUUCACGCCUCUCCUACUGCACAUUGCACCUCGAGUCCAGAGGCUGAGAGAGCUCACGGGGAGAAGCAAACCAAAAGCCCAAAGGACUUUUCUACCAUGGCGUGGCAACUCCUCGCCGGCGUGCUGCUGCUGCAGCUCGCGGCGAGCGCGGCGGGGCAGCAGCAGUGCCUGUCCGCGACGUUCCAGAACGGGCAGACGUUCCUGAAGUGCAACCCGCUGCCGGUGCUCGGCGCCAGCCUGCACUGGACGCACCACGCCGAGAACGGCACGGCGGACGUCGCGUUCCGCGCCCCGCAGCAGAGCAGCGGCUGGGUCGCCUGGGGGAUCAACACCCGCGGCACCACCAUGCCCGGCAGCAGCGUGUUCAUCGCCUCGCAGGACGGCAGCGGCUCCGUGUCCGUCCUCAUGACCGUGCUGGAGAACACCAGCCCGAGCCUGACCAACGGCAGCCUCAGCUUCGACGUGCUGUCCCCGCCCACCGCCGACUACACCAACGGCGUGUACACCAUCUUCGCCACCAUCGCGCUGCCCAACAACUCCACGACGCAGAACACCGUGUGGCAGGCCGGGCCAGGGAGCACCGGGAACGUCGGCCAGCACGCGACGUCCGGCCCCAACGUGCAGAGCAUGCUGAGGCUCGACUUCAGCUCCGGCCAGAGCACCGGUACCGCCUCCAACUCCAGGCUGCACCGCCGUAACGUAAGUUCUUCUCCUCCUCCUUGUUGAUCGAUUCAGUGAACUUUUUCAAUUAGAGGAUGUUGCUUCUCGAGUUUAUUUUAGACGUUAGGCAUGUCACCAACUAACGAUAGGUAAUCAACUAGAGGUCAGUCAUCGGUGUCAUCCUUUUAAAGAUUUUCAUUUUAGGAUCGCCGAAUUGUUUUGAUCAGAUAUUCCAUUCCAGUUGAGUUGAGGAUGACUGGAGGAUUGAGAAUUAAUCCUGUUGGAUUGAUCAAUUGACAUGAUGAUAUACAUAACCUAACCAAAUAGAUAGGCAAUUUUGGCGGCUAACUUUUAAUAACACGAUGUGGUUAGUUCAACAACCGGAUAGAGAUGGGAUUAGGAGACGUUAUCCCUUCUGCUCAUCUGUUUCUAGAAAAAAAAAAUGAAGGGUCAAAAUUCAACUCCGAGAAGCAACCAAGCCUGCAACUGUCCCAACUUUUGUGACAUGCAGUUGCUCAAGUUGCUCAACCAGUACACACAAUUUUCUUUUUCAUAGUUGAUCACGAAACAACUACUUGUUUGGUUUAAUUUGAUUCGAGAUUAUCCUUAAUCUGCACCAAACUAAUCAACGCAUGGUCGUACGUACAGAUCCAUGGCAUCCUGAACGCGGUGAGCUGGGGCAUCCUGAUCCCGAUGGGCGCCAUGAUCGCGCGCUACCUCCGCGUGUUCGAGGCCGCCGACCCGGCAUGGUUCUACCUCCACAUCACCUGCCAGCUCUCCGGCUACAUCCUCGGCGUCGCCGGCUGGGCCCUCGGCCUCAAGCUCGGCAGCGAGUCCAAGGGCAUCACCUACAGCGCCCACCGCAACAUCGGCAUCGCCAUCUUCUGCCUCGCCACGCUCCAGGUGUUCGCGCUGCUGCUGAGGCCCGACAAGAAGAACAAGUACAGGUUCUACUGGAACAUCUACCACCACUCCGUCGGCUACUCCGCCAUCGUCCUCGCCGCCGUCAACAUCUUCAAGGGCCUCGACAUCCUCAAGCCGGCCAGCGGCUGGAAGAGGAGCUACAUUGCCAUCCUCGCCACGCUCGCCGGCGUCGCGCUCCUGCUCGAGGCCAUCACCUGGGUCAUCGUCCUCCGGCGGAAGAAGAGCGACAAGUCGUCGUCGCCGUACGGCGCCACCAACGGCAACGGG